rnacentral:rRNA from 1 species
CAUUAGUGAAUUGUUAAAUGGGGUUUGAUGCUGGCAUCCGCUCUGUGGCAUGCAUGUGCUCGCUCUAACAAUCAUCUUCCAAACACUGUGCACAUUUUUUGAGGGUAAAUGCAAUUGUACUGCGUUUCCCCUUGAUAUACGCCUAUUACAAUAGUGAAUGUGAUUUGUGCCAUAAGGCCUUUAAUACCUAUACAACUUUUAACAACGGAUCUCUUGGCUCUCGCAUCGAUGAAGAACGCAGCGAAAUGCGAUAAGUAAUGUGAAUUGCAGAAUUCAGUGAAUCAUCGAAUCUUUGAACGCACCUUGCGCUCCCUGGUAUUCCGAGGAGCACGCCUGUUCGAGUGUCAUGAAAAUUUGUCAAGCUUAGGCUUGGUUUUGUUGGGCUUUGCUGUGUCCUUUGUUGGGAAUGGCUGGCCUUAAAAUUAUUAGCUGGUCCUUGUUUUAUCGGUUCUACUCAAGCGUGAUAAUAGUCUGAUCGCUGGAGGACAUUCCAUCUGGGAUGGCCGUUCAUCAACUUGGAUUGGCUCAUGUGGCUCUACUUUUUUCAGCUUUGACCUCGAAUCAGGUGGGACUACCCGCUGAACUUAAGCAUAUCAAUAAGCGGAGGAAAAGAAACUAACAAGGAUUCCCCUAGUAACGGCGAGUGAAGCGGGAAGAGCUCAAAUUUAAAAUCUGGCAAUCUUUGGUUGUCCGAAUUGUAAUCUAGAGAAGUGUUUUCCGCGCUGGACUGUGUUC